rnacentral:lncRNA from 1 species
AGUCAGCUCGAGGCAAAAGCAACAGUUGGACAAGGAUGCUGUCUGUGGAAGAUGUAGGAGUGGAAAACAGAGCAGUGAAAUGAGCAAGAGAACUGGGGAGAGGACAGAGGUCAAAUACAGCUGAGCAAGCCAAGGAAGACUUUUGUUUCCCGGGUACCAAGCCCUGAUUACAGCCAACAUGUUCACCUCAGCAUUGUGACUGUGUUCUCAGGAAUGUGGCAUAACGCUUCAUGGCAACAUGGGACCACCAAGAGGAACUAUAAAAGCAAAUGAAGCAAAUAAGGUCCCUUUGGUAUUCUACAACAGAAGCGAGUACAAUGAGGAAACAGAGACCUGCCAACUAAGUCACGGGGCUGAAAAGGCUCACAGCUUCAAAAACCUCCCAGCAGCCACACGAGAAGAGUUCAUCCAGGCAAGGUGUGUGUGCAGUGAGACCCUAUAUUACCCUAUGGAUCUCAACAUGGCUAUGAAGGUGAAAGAAAAUGGAUCCCCUGAAGACUUUUCUGCCUCAAAACCACAGAUGAUGCAAAAUGAAGCAGAGAGCGAGGUUGAGAACAACUAUGCAAAUGAGAACAGCAAAAUCAAACAGAUGAAAACCACACAGGGCCUUACACAGCCCAGAAGUAAUUGA